rnacentral:rRNA from 1 species
UACGUAGGGUGCAAGCGUUAAUCGGAAUUACUGGGCGUAAAGCGCGCGUAGGUGGUUCAGUAAGUUGGAAGUGAAAUCCCCGGGCUCAACCUGGGAACUGCUUUCAAAACUGCUGAGCUAGAGUACGGUAGAGGGUGGUGGAAUUUCCUGUGUAGCGGUGAAAUGCGUAGAUAUAGGAAGGAACACCAGUGGCGAAGGCGACCACCUGGACUGUUACUGACACUGAGGUGCGAAAGCGUGGGGAGCAAACAGG